GGUGUGCAGGCUGCAGGUGUGCUGGAUGCUCUGGUCUCGGGCUGUUUGCUUACAGGGCCGCAGGCUAAAGGCCGUUGAAGGGCAGUUGAAACACUGAUUGAGUGAUUACAUGAGACACGAUACGGAUUUCGAACCAGGCCUUCUAGGAGCAAGGAAUCAAACAGUUCCACAUGCUUUCCCUUCCUUUCUCCAAGAUAAGGGAUGAAUCAUGCAGAGGCGACGGAAACCGGCUGUGGUGCAUCUUGGGAAGACAGAGAGGACAGCCGAGGGUAAACACAGUGAUUAAUCAAAGCUACAACUGGUUAAAAGCAGAUAACCACCUUUUUCCAUAAGGGGAGAUUUGUUUCAUUUUUCAAACGCAUCUCAUGUUUCUAUAUUUAUUUAAAGCUUUGCAUUUCUUAAACGAAAGCUAUAAUCAACAGUCGACUGCAAACUCUGAGCAAGUCACUGGAGUGCCCUGUGAGUGUACAGAACACAAGCUGACCCAUCACUCAGAGAAAGAUGAAAAAGGGGACAGAGAGAGGCGAAGACAGAUGGAGAGGGUAGCAAAAUAGCAGGGAAGAGAAAAAAAAAAUUGCUAAACAGUUGCUGUAUUUCUUCAGAAUUAAAGUGCAAACACAUCUUCAUUCUAUGCAAAUGAGGCUGAUUAUAGAUUGAGCCUUAUUCAAAAAAUUUAGUAACCUUUGCUUUGUGCAAUUAACUGUUCUAUUACUGGUCACAAAAGCUUGUGGUAACGGAAUUCUACUUAAAAGAAUUGAUGUUUUCUAUUGAUCAUGGCAGCAGUAAUUCAUGAAAUAAUCAAAUUAUGAAAAGGAGCAUAUGGUGUAGUUGAAUACUUUCAUUAUUUUAGAGAAUCUGGAAUCAAAGGGAUGCAGUACAGCCUUGCUAAAGUAUGUCAGAUUGUGGUAAUCAGCGGACCCAUCCUCCACUGUCCACCACUCAGCAAUUAAAAUCCUAAACUUCCUCUCUCUCUCUCUCUCUAUAUAUAUAUAUAUAGAGAGGAAGGGAGGGAGAGAGGAAGGGAGGGGGAUGAGAAACCCAGUUCUUCCUGGACAAGGCCAAAAAAGAAAAGAAGAAUGAUGGAGACUAAAUGAAAUGCCACUCCGGGUAAGGAGAAAAAAGCAAGGCGAGAAAGCAGGUCAGCUGAAUUGCUGGGGAUGUUCUUGAGUGACUUUGCCCUCAGGUCCAAGUCAGAGUGCUUUCUUUCUUUCUUUCUUUCUUUCUUUCUUUCUUUCUUUCUUUCUCUCUUUCUUUCUUUCUUUCUUUUAUUAAUCUUCACUUUGGCACACAAUCUCACCUAUUCAAUACAAAAUAUUUUAUGAGUUCUACUUUUAAACAUGAAACAGUACUCAUAAUGGAUUUAACUUCAAUGAUGUGGACAUUUAGAAAUUAAAGAAAAUAGCUGAUGGGAAAUAAUGCAUGCUGGGACAUGUGUAAGAUACAUAAUACCUGAAGAAAGCUAUCUAUUAGUAUUCCUGUUCAAGUGAUCAGUGAUGGGACAUUUUUAUAUAUUUAUCUAUUUAUUUUGCUUCUGCAUCGCACUAGGUAGCCCCAUCUACAGUAGAGUCUAACUGGCCCAAAAUUUCACUUCACAUAACUUUAAACAUAAAAUAUUUUCUGAUUGGCUGUAAUUGACCGUUCGCAAAGACCCGCCUCCUUUAGUUACUGUGCCUCGUUGGAUAAGCCAUGCUGCUCUCACGCCACACAUCAUGUUCUCAUGCAGCGAAAAAUACAUCGCUGAGCAAAGAGAGCAGGUUACUUCUGAUAUGAAACAAAGUCUCAAAUGUUGUAAUUUUUAAGUAAAUUUAAACAAAGUUUUGUGGCUCUUUAAUGUGUCGUGACAGAACGCUGUAGCGCCUCAGUUUAAGCGGCUCAUGAAGCGAUCAUCUCUUCCUACUAGUUCAUUUAUAGCAUUAAAUAAACAUGAAUGAACAUCAGAAGGAAUGUUGUUUCACCCAUGGAAAAAUGUCAGUACACACCAUUUUUCAAGUUCAAGUCCACCAACGUUAAUUUACAAACUACCCUGACUGCUUUGUCGGACAAAACGGCGGAUUCGGCGUUAUGAAUGGUUAGAUCAAUCAAACCCCUGGCAAAGGGUCAAUUGUGUUCUGUCACAUGGUUGCUUUGAUUUCACUGUAGGUAGGCAAACUAAUUGUUGAAGAAAACAUGCUGUCUUUUGCUUUUUAGGCUGUAAGAGUAUGAGAGAGAGAUAUUCAGAGAAAAGAAAGCUAAAUGACCUUUAACUUCUAACUUCUAAUCUUGACACAUGCCUAUACAGUGAAAAAAAACUGCUUCAGUGUACAGUAGAUUUCCAAAAAUACGGUACUCAAUCC